CCUUCCACUGUCAACAAAGUGAAACAACAGGAGGGUUACCAUGGAAAGGACUGAAAGAUCCCAUUUCAGUAUUUGUGUAGAAUUUCAAAUGAUAUAUAACAGUGGAUUUUGCCACUGAUUCAAUUGUACUUUUGUGUGAAACCUGUUCUUUUUCUCUUGCUUUCCAGGGAUUAGCUGCUAGCAUUGUGAAACUUUAAAAGCAACAGGAUUAUGGGGAAUCACAAAAGCAGUUACAAGAUCACACAGCAACAGACCAAAGAGGAGAAGAUACGAAUAUAUGAAAGAACCACGCAGAACCACUGCAAUGAUAUGUGCGGAAUGAAAAUCAAGCAGAACUGCUCCAGAAGUGCGGUUAACAAGUCGUAUUUAAAUGGAAAGAAGAUCCUAGUUUGGGGACCAAUGUUCGUUUGGAUAAGAAGAAGAGACCUUUCUUCAGAUGGUCUUCAGAUCCCACAGUUCCUAACAGUUGAUAAAAUGGCUGGGAUUACAGGGAAUUGAAAUCCAAAACAUCUGGAGUCCCAGAGGUUGGGAACCACUGCUCUAGGGCCAUAUUGCCAGAAUACACAUAAUGGAAAGGAGACUAUGCCGAAACAUCCAGGCUUCCUUCUUUAGCCCUGGCUAUUGUGGCUGUUCUCUGGAAGCUGUGGUUGUUCUGUCCCAGAUGUUCCUUUCUCCACUUUGCUAGAUGUGCUCUGUAAAUUAUGUGAUGCUGUUCUGACAAGGCCGGCUUUGUUCUAUUGUGCCAAAGUAAUUACCAACAAUCAUUUUGCUGUCAUUCUGCUCUUGAACAAACAAGGAAAAACAGGAACAUCUAUGCAAUCUAUAAUGAGGAAGCAGGGAAUGGAAGAGUGGGUGUUCUGCGCCUGACAUCAGAGCUUCAUCCAAGUUCAUUAUCAAAGAGAAACAGAGCUGUCCUAUGUUAUCCAAAUUAUGUUGGGACACAUACCACCAUGUGUUUUGCAUAGACCACGUGCAAGAGGACAUCUGUGUAAACAAUUUUUGCAACAUGUAUCACGUCAAUGAAAGCACAACAGGAGGAGUAAUGGAGCACAGUGGAAAUUGCUAAAGUUGUAUAGGGGAAUCAGUUCAUACAUAUGUACAAUUGCUUAUUAUUAUCUAUUUAUGAUAUGUGCAUGCCAUCCCAUAAUGAAGAUCUCUGGUCGGUUUGUAAUAACUUUGUGGUUUAAAUAAUCAUGACGUCUCAUUUGGACUUUUAAUAGCUCCUUGGAUUUUGUUGGGGUUCAAUAGUUCUUAGGACUAGAAGGUGUUUUUUUUAAAGUUGUGAUAUGUUACAUAAUACAUAAUAAUCAACCAACAUAACAACUAAUAAUCAAAACUGGAAUGAAACUUAGCAUCAGCAAAUCACUUUUAAAUAAAAAGAUAAUGAGUUAUAAA